GCCAGGUGUGGUGGUGCAUGCCUGUAGUCCCAGCUACUCGGGAGGCUGAGGCAGGAGAAUUGCUUGAACCCAGGAGGCAGAGGUUGCAGUGAGCUGAGAUCUCGCCACUGCACUCCAGCCUGGGUGACAGAGCGAGACUCUGUCUCAA
rnacentral:sRNA from 1 species